rnacentral:rRNA from 1 species
UACGGAGGGUGCAAGCGUUAAUCGGAAUUAUUGGGCGUAAAGCGUACGCAGGCGGUUUGUUAAGUCAGAUGUGAAAUCCCCAGGCUCAACCUGGGAACUGCUUCUGAUACUGGCAAGCUUGAGUCUCGGAGGGGGAAGUGGAAUUCCAGGUGGAGCGGUGAAAUGCGUAGAGAUCAGGAGGAAUACCGGUGGCGAAGGCGGCCCCCUGGACAAAGACUGACGCUGAGGUGCGAAAGCGUGGGGAGCAAACAGG